GAUGAACGCUGGCGGCGUGCCUAAUACAUGCAAGUCGAGCGAACAGACGAGGAGCUUGCUCCUCUGACGUUAGCGGCGGACGGGUGAGUAACACGUGGAUAACCUACCUAUAAGACUGGGAUAACUUCGGGAAACCGGAGCUAAUACCGGAUAACAUGUUCUACCGCAUGGUUCAACAGUGCAACACGGUCUUCCCGUCACUUAUAGAUGGAUCCGCGCCGCAUUAGCUAGUUGGUAAGGUAACGGCUUACCAAGGCAACGAUGCGUAGCCGACCUGAGAGGGUGAUCGGCCACACUGGAACUGAGACACGGUCCAGACUCCUACGGGAGGCAGCAGUAGGGAAUCUUCGGCAAUGGGCGAAAGCCUGACGGAGCAACGCCGCGUGAGUGAUGAAGGUCUUCGGAUCGUAAAACUCUGUUAUUAGGGAAGAACAAAUGUGUAAGUAACUAUGCACGUCUUGACGGUACCUAAUCAGAAAGCCACGGCUAACUACGUG
rnacentral:rRNA from 1 species